AGAGAAUUUUAAAACAGUAGACAGAUUGUAAGAAUAUAGAAAUAUUAAUAUAAUAUUCUUAACUUAUUAAAAUUAUUAAAGUUUGUACGAAUGACUUAUAUUUACAUUAAUUAAUUAUUGAUUUAAAGAUGGAUAGAGCUACGAAGACUUAAUAGUCCAUUUAAAAGCUAAAUGUGAAUAUGAUUUGAAGUGAUUUACUCCACAAAACACUUACAUUUAUGUAUACUAUGCCUAAUAAUCUGCUCAUGUACAACCGUGAAUCUUUCACUAAUUAUUGUUCCAACAAUUGCAAAAUAGAGGCGGGCCCAGGUCAAAAUGGACUCGUAUACAGAUCGUUUGAAGCCUGAUUAAAAAGCUCUUACUUUUCAAUGUACCUCGAGCGAUAAAUCGUAGUUUAUCAGUUUGACGCAUUUCGAGGCUCGUAAUGAGCCUCUAUCCGGUCUCAGCGGAUAUCAGAGGCCGUGUUAUCCUUUUCGAGUCACCGAAGGUGUUUACGGGACACGAAUCAAUGUCAUUGGGAUAUGAUUCACGUUUGACCGGCACAGUAGCUCGGGUCGUCGUGUCAUUUACUCUGUUCUUCGUAAGAAGACGCAGUCACAGUAGCUGCCCACCCCACUCCAAUCGGAUUUGCAACGUAGUGGAGCACGGACAGCCAAUACGAUCAGGAGCGUACUCCAGCUUGUAUUCUUUCUAAAAGCAAACCGUAACGAACCAGCAGCAGUAAACUUACGGUGAAUAUUUCGGCGCAAGCCAUAGUCGAUGUUAGCCGCUGUUAAUCGCCUGUUAGACCGCCUCUAGAGCGAUAUCAAACGUGGAUAGAAGAGGAGACGAGCCCACCUCGAGACCGCACAGACAGACCAGUUUAUGCAAUUUUUAGAGCAAACCGUUUCGAAACGUUACCUCACCGUGCAAAUAUUUGCUGGCACCGGUCGUACUUCACCGAUGAAAGUGACAGUUCCCACAACGACGGUAUUAUCAGCUGGCUGCGAGGAUGUCACGUUCAAGAUCGAACGGUCGAAUACGAAACAAGGGACGGGUAUCCGUGUACCAGAAAUCGGCUAUAUCCUGCCAUGACCGACGACCGACGCGAUAAUAUAACCGGGAGGCCCGUAGUUUCCACCGACAUGAAAUCGAUCUUGCACGCGAACUUACCGAAAUAUCGUAUUAUCAAGAUUGGAGGGUACACGGAACCGUACGGCUUAAUCGAUAGUCAUCGUACAACGAGAAUCGACGGCGAUCUGCAGCGUUGCUGGUGCACCGGUCGGGCAGAAUUAUGGAAACACUGUUACCCGUGUCUUGGGUUUGCAAAAUGUGACGCGAAACUGAUUUAGAGCAUCGUUAGGCAUUGUCAAUGAACUUUAUGAACGAGAAGGACAACGACCGUUCAACGUGGCAGGGCACAAUUUAUGCUAAGACGCAUUUAUAGAAUACAACACAGAGUCAUUUUCAUAGAAAAUCCGAAUGGUUUGCAGACUCAAAAGAGGAGAAAAUAUGAACCAGCAAGGACGUAGAGCACUAACAUGGAAUGUUCUAAGUGCGCGAGGUGUUUCCACGAUUUUGUCCGACCUCUGUGGAUCGAUGCGGAGGUUGCCGGAAGACCGAAUGGCAGGAAAACAUUUUGAGGACGAUCUCGAAGGCGAGCACGCACAGCGGAAACACUCUCGGAAGAGAUCUGCACACGAGAAUAGAUAAUAAAGACGACGACGACGACGAUCGUAGGAGAAGAGAUAUAGCACGCUCGAGACUGGUACCACUGCAAAACUGGUAGCACUCGUGAGCACGCGAGCACUGUUGUGCUGCGACGCGCUUGUUCCACGAUGCUCUUGUGUCGGACGACGCUUAUGAAUUAAUUAGAUAAUAACCAGCGACAAUUAGAGCUGAAGGCACGAGCGCAAUGAAAACACCAUCUGCUUCUCAUCGGCCGCGGAAAAAUUAACGGCCGAGCCACGGAACGGUAUAUACUCUGAACUGAGUCAAUUCGCAGUAAUUGACGAAACGCUGCUGCUGCUGUUACUGCUGCUGCUGCUCUGGCUGCGAUGGUCUCUCCAUCGCAGAACAAGGAAACAUUGUUCAAGUGAUAUCUCGGAUUCGUGUGCGUCUUACGAUGCAUUCUCUUUAGUUUUUGUCUCAAAUGAUAUUCCACUCCACGUGGAUUUCUACCGUAACUUUUAUUAUAAUCUUUCUGUACAUCAAAUUGAAGACGGAACAUGCUUAGCAACCACAAAAUUAGAGAAAAACAAAGUAUUUUACUCGUGGAUCGUUAAAAAAUUAGCUGUCACCAAAAUUUACAAGUGUGGAAGAGUAAACAAGCUUUCGAAACGGAA